GCCGCGGUGAAUACGUUCCCGGGCCUUGUACACACCGCCCGUCACACCACGAGAGUUUGUAACACCCGAAGUCGGUGAGGUAACCGUAAGGAGCCAGCCGCCUAAGGUGGGAUAGAUGAUUGGGGUGAAGUCGUAACAAGGUAGCCGUAUCGGAAGGUGCGGCUGGAUCACCUCCUUU
rnacentral:rRNA from 1 species